rnacentral:lncRNA from 1 species
AAUACACGUCACCUACUGAGUAAAGGAUAUUGUUCAUUCUGAGCAAUUACUCAAAUUGUUUCACAGUGUGUUCUAUUUAUUUGUAUGAGCAUGGUUAAUAUGCAAACUGGAUCAUCCCUUGGAAACCUGAAAGUGAAUUUUGUGAUAAUACAAGGAAUCCUAGGGUAAUCAUACCAGAUGUCUUCUGCAUGCCUUAAUUUACAAAUGCCAACAAUAAAAAGGAGGAAGAAGGAGCCAGGAAGAUUGGAUGCAGUAGCCACCAAGGAACCCUGGUGAUGGCAUCUGCUUGGCUUCUAGGGAGGCCUCAGGAAGUUUACAAUCAUGGUGAAAAGUGAAGCUGGAGCAGGCACUUCACAUGGUGAAAGCAGGAGCAAGACACAGUGAAAUGGUACAAGUGCCAAACACUUUAAAAUGACCAGAUCUUACAAGAACUCACUAUCACGAAGACAG